CACUCCCUUUCGUGAGUAUCUGGGUGGAGUAUUACCAUAUAACACGCAAUAACGGAAAUACACACGUUUAUCGAUACGUAGAGGUGUGAAUUAUGGUCAACGUUUCCGUUACGUCAGGCGAAUAGCUGGUUAGCUUGAUCGGAAGAGAUAUUAGCGAGAUAUCCAUCCUUAACACAUUUGAUACCUAUAUAUACAACCACGUUUUGGGAUUCACAUCAAUUCACUGCUGAGCUCUCUACAUCGCGAUAAAGAUUUGAAGAAAUAUUUCACCAGGAAUCAUGAACAAGUUCGUUGCAGUUCUUAUUGCGCAGUGUGCAUGCGUAGGCCUCGUUAUGAGUUACGGAAGUGUCACAAACACGCAGACGACAUUCGGCCAAGCGUAUCCGGGUACUGCAUUCUCCGAUCACUAUGGCUCUUACGGAACCGGAUAUGGAUUUUUCGGACUUCCGGCAAUCGGCGUCGGCAGCGGUCAGGGUGUCCCGCUAGGUGGCAGUAAUGGAAUAUUUGGAAGUUUGAUUUACUUGUUCCUGUUCGUGUUCCUUGUCAAGAUUCUGUUCCCUAGUAACGGGAACGGCGGCGUCCUUGGAUCCAUUUCCGGUUAGAUAACUUUCGGGUUAAUUAUCCCCGAUUGAGUUACAUUUCGACUCCUAAAGAAAAUGCCAUUUCCGCAAGUGCCAAAUCAUCUGGAACUGGUUAAAUUGCCUUCCAUGUAUUAAAUAUGAGUGAAUGAAUUUAUUUCCGUUCUGAGAUUAUAUAUAUAUU